CGCACUAGCGUCUCUUUGCUCUCUUUGACGUUCGUUGUGCUGAAGUAGGUUAGUAGAGUAAACAUGUCUCCAGAAAGUUUUCUUUUAAUUUAAAAUAAAGUUACAUUGUUUAAACGCUUAUAUAGUUGUUAGUACUGUCUGUAAUUUAAAUAUUACUUAUUCUUGAAUGAGCUUACAGUUAGAAAACUGAUUUUGUGCAUGGAGCUGGCUUUCAAAAUGGCCGCCACCUCGUGGCGUCCUGUUUAUUAUUACAGCUUCUCUGUAAUCUCUGUGAAGCGGUUUUUUUCUUUGUUGUUUUUUUUUAGUAAAACUCAUUCUGUUUGGCUUUUUAGCUUUGCGGAUAUGGGCCUCAGCUGCAGACGUGGUGAAAAUGGCAUUACAGAAUGGUCUGAAGAUGGCACCUAGCUGUUUUUGUUCUCUUCUGCAUUUAAUGUCGAACAUCCACUAAUCAACAUGGUUCCUGUGGUCAUGUGAAAGGAGAUGCAAUUCCUUGCUGAGAUUGGUGUCUAGAAGUUGAGUUUUCACCAGGAUGGAGGUUUUUGUACCCCAAGUGUGAAAGAUUGCUUCAGAUUGUGUUGCUGUGCCAGUGGAGCCAGUGAUGUGCUGUACCUUCAACAUUAUUCAUGAUGCUUUUAAAAAUGCUCCCACGUUGGUGUGGGUUGAUGUUGCAACUGAUCUAAAUAAAGCUCUGAAAUGUGAAUGAAGACUGCCUGAUUUUUAGUGUACUUAUGAAUGUUGAUCUUUUGGGUUUCUUAGACAUUGUACUUUUUUUUUCUUUUCUUUUUUUUAAAUCAAGGAAACUCCAGAAUAUUCACUGGGAUCUUGCGAUUUUUCAAAAUUAAUACAGAUGUUCUGCAGAUUUUGGGUGUUGAGCUUGAGUACAGCUCAAAGGUCUCAUUUACCAACAAUCACUGUGAAAGACUGUGCAAAACAACUUCAUGCAGUUGCAAUUUCACCAAUUCAAGUAGCUUUCUGCAAAAAAGCACAAAACUGCAAAUUGUGUUGUAAAUGUUGGACGGGGGAAAAAAGCUGCAGGGAUUUUGGCUGCAUGAUUCACAAAUAAAAACUCGUUGAAAUCCUGUACGGACCAAUGUACAGCACCUUGUAAUGAGUGUUGCUGGCAUGUUUAGCACUGCCUGAUAUUACACAUACUUGCCUUUAUUUUGUUUGUCAUGUGUCUGACUUCCUGUUUUACCUGGUUUUUAGACCCCUGUCCCCACAGUUUCCUCAUCUUCUGAUCAUAUGUUAAUGACUGCAAACAUAAACCUCUGGGGGGGGGGGGGGGGGUCCAUAAAGGUGUGUCUUUUCUUCUGGUGUGAUUUGAACCCAAACCUGGUUCUGACCUUUUUGUUAGGCUAAUAAAAUUGUUGGAGCAAAUCCCCCCUCAAAUACAGCUAGUCAAAUACAUACUUGAUCCAGGAAGGUCUGUAAAUCAUGUUGUGGAAAAGAAGCAUCUCAACCAAAAAGGUGACUCAUGUUUAGUGCAUGUUUGAUUGAGCCUGCUUGUACAAGCUUUAUAUGCUAUUUGAGUUAGACUUGAUUCAAGGUGCUUGUUUUACAAAAUGAAGACUUUAGCUUCACCAAAUUUGAAGAAAUCAUACCUUCCAGCUCAUAUGUUCCUACCAUCAGCAUUUAAAACAGCUUGGGUUCAACUUAUUAUCCUGGGUUUAUUUCUGUAAGGUCAUUUCAGGUUGCAUUUUGCUUUAGAAAGAAAUGUUUCCUAGCAGCCUGUGUGACAGAAAUGUGGGUUUCUACCAUCUUGGAGUAAAAUCUAAAAACUAGACACCACCAUAACACUACAGCUGAGGGUAAGACUUGUAUUAUGAAGAAGGGAAAAAAAGGAGUGUUGAGAUAUCUAACGUUGUUGUCUUUUACAUCCUGUACAGCCAAUAAAUUUGUAUUUAUUGCAGGUAUUUACAAUGUUUUAAAAUGUCACAAUAUCUUUCCGCGGUGGAAAUUAAGAUCACUUUAGUUCCCUAAAAAAAAAAGAAGCACUCGGGUUAGUGAACUUCCUCAAACGUCCGGCAACGUCAAUGUUGAGAGUGACGUAAUGAAGUGAACUCUGAUUCUUUUCAAUGAAUCGGAUCGUUUGGUUCAUCUCACCAACAAGAGCCGAUUCAUUCGGCUCCCAAAUGGCUCGUUGCCAUUUCCCCCAAACUAAACAAGUCAGAGUUUGCGAUAUAUUAACCAGUGAUUAUUCCUCUGUGUCUGAGUAUGACUGAAUUCGUUCCAUGUAUUCUUACUCUACCUUCUGAUCAAUAAAAAC
ensembl:lncRNA